rnacentral:rRNA from 1 species
UACGUAGGGGGCGAGCGUUGUCCGAAUUUACUGGGCGUAAAGAGCGCGUAGGCGGAUCUUUAAGUGAGUGGUGAAAGCUCGGGGCUCAACCCCGAUAGUGCCGUUCAUACUGGGGAGCUUGAGUGUGGGAGAGGCGAGUGGAAUUUCUGGUGUAGCGGUGAAAUGCGUAGAUAUCAGAAGGAACACCCAUGGCGAAGGCAGCUCGCUGGCCUACAACUGACGCUGAGGCGCGAAAGCGUGGGGAGCAAACAGG